rnacentral:rRNA from 1 species
UACGGGGGGGGCAAGCGUUGUUCGGAAUUACUGGGCGUAAAGGGCUCGUAGGCGGCCAACUAAGUCGGAUGUGAAAUCCCCAGGCUCAACCUGGGAACUGCGUCUGAUACUGGAUGGCUUGAAUCCGGGAGAGGGAUGCAGAAUUCCAGGUGUAGCGGUGAAAUGCGUAGAUAUCUGGAGGAAUACCGGUGGCGAAGGCGGCAUCCUGGACCGGCAUUGACGCUGAGGAGCGAAAGCUAGGGGAGCAAACGGG